CACUGGUGGAUUGAAGAAAAGAGCACAGUAACAAGACUGCCUGGAUUAUGGCAUGAUAACUGCUGAGAAACACUGCUCCAUUGCCUUGCCCACUGCCAGGGCUCAGCCUAGACUGUGGACAAAGAGAGGACACCCAGAGACUUAAAUGUCUCAUAUUGCCUAAGACAAGGACCCACCAUGGGGAGCCAUGGAGAAGGCUUUCACCUACAGAUCUGCUGUCUAAUCUCCCAUAGAAAGCCUCUCUGUGCUCACAGUGGCCGCCACCAAACCCAAGCCAAGCCAAGCUCAAGCCUGCAGACAUCAAGCCAAGGACUCUCCCCAUGGGACCAGCUUUCUCAGCUCUUCCACAGUUGCCAGAAGUACCUGGGGGUCUGAGAGCCUGAGAACCAGACAACCCCGGCAUCCUUGCAGGCCUGGGAACCCCUGAGCCAGCUCCGACUGUCUCACCUCAGACUGUGCUUCCCCACCCCUGGAGCAGUAAGGUUUCUUUAUGGCCCAACACCCGCCCAGCGACAGUGUGGGCUAAGCUCAGCUGACUCUUCUCAUCCUGUCUUCUCGAUUGGCCGAGCCCUGUGGCGGGGCAGACACGAGACCCCAUUUGACCCUACAUCAGUCUUACUCCUGAUGAAUAUGCAUUCAUUCCAUUAUCCAUCCUUCCUUUCAUUUUUCUUUCUGUCUAUUU